AGGUGUUGUUGCUCCUCUCUCUAUGAAUGAAGAUUGAACUUCAUCCCAGACUGCAACUUCUUUCUUCUGUCCAAAUUUGUGAGCCACACUAGGACCACGCGGGGCUGCGGGUCCGACCCGGACCUGCACAUUUCGAUCCAGUGUGCCCGCUCCACACUCAACAGGCCAGACUACAACUCCAGCCCCAGGAAUCCAAUAAGGUCUUCACCUUCCUCGCGUUCCGGAAGACCCACAAGCUAGUAUUUGAUCUGAAGAUGAAGUUUCAAAAUCAACAGAUGAAGGGCUUAUGCCUGAACCAUUAACU